AUACGUAGGUGACAAGCGUUAUCCGGAUUUACUGGGCGUAAAGGGCGUGUAGGCGGUCUUGCAAGUCAGAAGUGAAAUUCCUGAGCUCAACUCGGGCGCUGCUUCUGAAACUGCAGGACUUGAGUGCUGGAGGGGAUAGCGGAAUUCCUAGUGGAGCGGUAAAAUGCGCAGAUAUUAGGAAGAACACCGGUGGCGAAGGCGGCUAUCUGGAAAGUAACUGACGCUGAGGCGCGAAAGCGUGGGGAGCAAACAGGAUUAGAUACCCUGGUUGGCCACGCCGUAAACGAUGAAUACUAGGUGUAGGGGGUAUCGACUCCCUCUGUGCCGCAGUUAACACAAUAAGUAUUCCGCCUGGGGAGUACGGCCGCAAGGUUGAAACUCAAAUGAAUUGACGGGG
rnacentral:rRNA from 1 species